UGGGGAAUAUUGCGCAAUGGGGGAAACCCUGACGCAGCGACGCCGCGUGCGGGAUGAAGGCCUUCGGGUUGUAAACCGCUUUUGAUUGGGAGCAAGCCUUUUUGGUGAGUGUACCUUUCGAAUAAGCGCCGGCUAACUACGUGCCAGCAGCCGCGGUAAUACGUAGGGCGCAAGCGUUAUCCGGAAUUAUUGGGCGUAAAGAGCUUGUAGGCGGUUCGUCGCGUCUGGUGUGAAAGCCCAUCGCUUAACGGUGGGGUUGCGCCGGGUACGGGCGGUCUAGAGUGCAGUAGGGGAGACUGGAAUUCCCGGUGUAGCGGUGGAAUGUGUAGAUAUCGGGAAGAACACAAAUGGCGAAGGCAGGUCGCUGGGCUGUUACUGACGCUGAGAAGCGAAAGCGUGGGGAGCGAACAGG
rnacentral:rRNA from 1 species